rnacentral:rRNA from 1 species
AUUGAACGCUAGCGGGAUGCUUUAAACAUGCAAGUCGAACGAGUGGCGGACGGGUGAGUAAUAUAUCGGAACGUGCCCAGUAGCGGGGGAUAACUACUCGAAAGAGUGGCUAAUCCCGCAUACUAUUUGAGCGCCCGAUAUCGGAUUAGCUAGUUGGUGGGGUAAAGGCUCACCAAGUCAACGAUCCGUCGCUGGUUUGAGAGGACGACCAGCCACACUGGGACUGAGACACGGCCCAGACUCCUACGGGAGGCAGCAGUGGGGAAUGUUGGACAAUGGGGGAAACCCUGAUCCAGCCAUCCCGCGUGUAUGAGAAGGCCUUCGGGUUGUAAAGUACUUUUGGCAGAGAAGCGGUAUCUGCAGAAUAAGCACCGGCUAACUACGUGCCAGCAGCCGCGGUAAUUC